GGAGCAGUUGUAAUUUGUAAAGUCAAAAGAGCUUUCUGUUUUAUUUUAUUUUAUUUUGACAUCAAAGAAGAUUUCUAUAAAUUUGCCAAACAUAUAGCUAAGCUUUAUUUAUAAAAAUGCAUUUCAGAGAUAACUUUUUAUCGGCCCAUGUUUCAUUAGCUGAAAACCCACUACGGGUGAUACAAAUGACGAUGAUCAAAGCUCCAUCCUGCCAUCAUUUACAACUUUGAUUAAUAUUUACAAAUGAUGAUGAAGCAAAAUGAUGAUAAUGCAUUUUCAGAGUAAUUGAUGUUUAAUGAGAAAGAUGAAAGCAUAAAAUAAAGAACAAAGAUGAAGCAUUUUUGGGGUUCACCGUAGUGAAAGGAGACAAAAAUAGCUACCUUUAACGCUUUCACUUUGUCCAAGUGCUUGCUUCUCUGUUCUCUC
rnacentral:lncRNA from 1 species